CCUACGGGAGGCAGCAGUGAGGAAUAUUGGUCAAUGGGCGGAAGCCUGAACCAGCCAAGUCGCGUGAGGGAUUAAGGCCCUGCGGGUCGUAAACCUCUUUUGCCGGGGAGCAGUGGUCCGGACGCGUCCGGACCGGGAGAGUACCCGGAGAAAAAGCAUCGGCUAACUCCGUGCCAGCAGCCGCGGUAAUACGGAGGAUGCGAGCGUUAUCCGGAUUUAUUGGGUUUAAAGGGUGCGUAGGCGGACAGUAAAGCCGGCGGUAAAAUGGCGGGCCUCAACCCCGGCCUGCCGUUGAAACUGGCGGCCUUGAGUGGGCGAGAAGUAUGCGGAAUGCGUGGUGUAGCGGUGAAAUGCAUAGAUAUCACGCAGAACACCGAUUGCGAAGGCAGCAUACCGGCGCCCUACUGACGCUGAGGCACGAAAGUGCGGGGAUCGAACAGGAUUAGAUACCCUGGUAGUC
rnacentral:rRNA from 1 species